GACAAUCUUCAUUCGAAGUUUCUAGGCCAAUGUGAUCACAUAAAAAAUAUAUAUUUCCUAUAAUCAAGGCAUCCCAAAGUUCCGAAUCUAGUGAGCUACGUAAUUCUGUUUUAGAUGUCAAACCCCAAUCUCAAACUCAAAUUCUGUGUUUAUCCAUUCUUGUUCUAACUUUCGGCCUGUAAUCAACUAAAUUUUUAGUCGUGUUAAGUUAUUUUUUGUUCAGUUCCCAAACUUUACAAUUCCAUCAUGUGUUGUGGACCUCUCGGAUUCUGUGGACCUUGCAGCCCGUGUGGCGGACCUUGCGGACCCUGCGGACCUUGCGGUUCUUGCUGCGGAGGCUGUGGACCUUGUUGCGGACCUUGCGGCUCUUGCUGCGGAGGCUGUGGACCAUGUGGGCCUUGCUGCGGUCCCUGUGGUCCUUGCUGCGGAGGAUGUGGAUGCUAAAUAACAAAUCCUAUUCAACAUCUUGUUCCUGUGAACGACUAAGAGUAACUUAAGACCAAACGCAGAGAACUAUUAAAGCGUGGACAAAGACAA